GACGAACGCUGGCGGCGUGCUUAACACAUGCAAGUCGAACGGAAAGGCCCCUUUGGGGGUACUCGAGUGGCGAACGGGUGAGUAACACGUGAGUAACCUGCCCUUGACUUCGGGAUAACUUCAGGAAACUGGGGCUAAUACCGGAUAGGAAUCCUUGCUGCAUGGUGGGGGUUGGAAAGCUUCGGCGGUUUUGGAUGGACUCGCGGCUUAUCAGCUUGUUGGUGGGGUAGUGGCUUACCAAGGCUUUGACGGGUAGCCGGCCUGAGAGGGCGACCGGCCACAUUGGGACUGAGAUACGGCCCAGACUCCGACGGGAGGCAGCAGUGGGGAAUAUUGAACAAUGGGCGGAAGCCUGAUGCAGCAACGCCGCGUGCGGGAUGACGGCCUUCGGGUUGUAAACCGCUUUCAGCAGGGGCGAAGCUUGUGGUGACGGUACCUGCAGAAGAAGCACCGGCUAACUACGUG
rnacentral:rRNA from 1 species